UAAGGAAUAUUGGUCAAUGGAGGCAACUCUGAACCAGCCAUGCCGCGUGCAGGAAGACAGCCCUCUGGGUCGUAAACUGCUUUUAUUCGGGAAUAAACCUAUUUACGUGUAGAUAGCUGAAUGUACCGAAGGAAUAAGGAUCGGCUAACUCCGUGCCAGCAGCCGCGGUAAUACGGAGGAUCCAAGCGUUAUCCGGAUUUAUUGGGUUUAAAGGGUGCGUAGGCGGCUUAUUAAGUCAGGGGUGAAAGACGGUGGCUCAACCAUCGCAGUGCCCUUGAUACUGAUGAGCUUGAAUACACUAGAGGUAGGCGGAAUGUGACAAGUAGCGGUGAAAUGCAUAGAUAUGUCACAGAACACCGAUUGCGAAGGCAGCUUACUAUGGUGUGAUUGACGCUGAGGCACGAAAGCGUGGGGAUCAAACA
rnacentral:rRNA from 1 species